rnacentral:rRNA from 1 species
GGCUCACCUAGGCGACGAUCCCUAGCUGGUCUGAGAGGAUGACCAGCCACACUGGAACUGAGACACGGUCCAGACUCCUACGGGAGGCAGCAUG